GCAUCCAUGGCUGAAUGGUGAAAGUGCCCAGCCGGGUAAAUUCGUAGGUUCGAUUCCUGCUGGAUGCA
rnacentral:tRNA from 1 species